CCCGCUCAGAAACUACAAAGGAAUUGACGGGUCCCCCGCACAAGCGGCGGAGCAUGCGGCUUAAUUCGAUGCAACCCGAAGAACCUUACCUGGGCUUGACAUUAUGGGAAAAGCCGUAGAGAUACGGUGUGCAUUAGCGUCCAUGACAGGUGGUGCAUGGCUGUCGUCAGCUCGUGUCGUGAGAUGUUGGGUUAAGUCCCGCAACGAGCGCAACCCUUGUCCUAUGUUGCCAGCGGUUCGGCCGGGGACUCAUAGGAGACUGCCGGGGACAACUCGGAGGAAGGUGAGGACGACGUCAAGUCAUCAUGCCCCUUAUGUCCAGGGCUGCACGCAUGCUACAAUGGUCGGUACAACGGGCUGCGAUCCCGCGAGGGUGAGCGAAUCCCUUAAAACCGGCCUCAGUUCGGAUUGGAGUCUGCAACUCGACUCCAUGAAGUCGGAGUCGCUAGUAAUCGCGGAUCAGCAAAGCCGCGGUGAAUGCGUUCUCGGGGAUU
rnacentral:rRNA from 1 species